CUGGAAUAACAGUUAGAAAUGAUUGCUAAUGCCGGAUGAUAUUGGGAACGAUACUCUUCCUUAUUAAAAGGGGCCUUUAAAGCCUCGCUUGAAGAUGAGCCUGCGCCGUAUUAGCUUGUUGGUGGGGUAACGGCCUACCAAGGCAACGAUGCGUAGCCGACCUGAGAGGGUGAUCGGCCACACUGGGACUGAGACACGGCCCAGACUCCUACGGGAGACAGCAGUUAGGAAUAUUCGUCAAUGGGGGAAACCCUGAACGAGCAAUGCCGCGUGAAGGAUGACGGUCCUAUGGAUUGUAAACUUCUGUUGUUAGGGAAGAACGACCUAUAUAGGAAAUGAUAUAGGAGUGACGGUACCUUUCAAGAAAGCUCCGGCUAACUACGUGCCAGCCGCCGC
rnacentral:rRNA from 1 species